ensembl:lncRNA
CGGAAAAGUAAUAUAUUCACAUAUAUGUGAAGCACUGUUAAAUAUAUUGAAAUAUAUUUUGAAAAUAUAUUUUAAAAAUACAUAUGUUGCGUGUGUGUGUUACAUUAUAUUCAUGCCUCAAAUAACUUUUAAUCAAUAUUAUAUUAUAUUAUAUUAUAUUAUAUUAUAUUAUAUUAUAUAGAUCCUAUAUUCUAAUUCUAUUUAGGCCUACUAUCAACUUAAUAUGUUAUCAAGUGUCAGGGCAAGUUUAUAAUUUUAUGUACUAUGCAAACGCUGUGUAAUGUGUUUGAUGGGCGCGCGCGUUGAUCAUUCGAGGCGAAUUUAAACUGGAGUGGAGGGAGUUACCAUGGAAACGGGGCGGCAACUCAGCUGACAAGUAGCAAAUCUCUCCGUCUCUCACUGUUGUUUUUACUGCUUUCAGGUAAGUUUAGUCCCUAAAAUUACACAAAUAAUACAUAGAACUUUUCCUGACACUUUCUUACAUGUAAUUGACACGCUUCUGUUGAAUAUUUACUUUACAGAAAUGGUUCAGUGUCAUGGGAAUAAGUCCGGUAGCAUCACAACCGUGAGCUAACAGAGGCUAACUAUAAGAGCUAACAGUUAAUCAGUUUGGGAGAAUGCAAACAACGUGAUUCCAACAUCCAGCCAUGCAAGAAAACGUGCAUUUUACCUGAGGGAAGACAGAAUCAAUAAGGAAAGUCGUCUUUCUUUAAUGUAGCAGAGUUGGAGUGGACCUCUUGUUGAAGAACUUCUCCAGGCACUAUGAACCAUCUGACUAGCCAUCCUGUUUAACACUGCACUGCAGACACUACAACCAGAGAGGUACAACAUAAUUCAAAAUGAGACACAGAUGAUAAUAAAAAAGUGCUUUGAAAUGAAAAUUAAUACUGGUAAGACAGAACCGAGUACUGUGACUGUGCCUCACUUCAAAGUGAAACAGUCUGUAAUGGUCAUCUGCCGUGCCAGAUCGAUGGUGAAGGUGGGAAUUAUAAGUAAGAUUUUCUAAACUUUAAAUGUAGUAAAGUGUUUGUUCAAGUAGACUUUGUUGCUUGUGGAAAC